AAGGCGGUGGUCUUCCUUCUCAAUCUGGGUUUCCUUCAUUAGUGUCUCCUCGUACUCAGUUUAAUAAUAUGAAUAUGCUCGGGAACGUGCCUAAUGUUUCUUCCCUUCUUAAUCAGUCAUUUGGGAAUGGGGGUCCGAACCCUCAGCUUUCUGGUCCUGGGAGUGGCCAGCGUGGAGGAAUCGAUUCAGGGGCUGAAUCUGAUCCACUUUCGAAUGUGGGUACUGGGAUGGGGUUUAAUGCCCCAUCGUCAUUUGUGCCAUCGAACAUGGCAAACAUUGGGUCGUCUGGUCAAGUUCAAAGUCAGCAGUAUUCUAACCUUUCUGGUAACCAUAUUUUACCAGAUCAACAACAGCCCCAACAACCGGAGUCACAGCAGUUCCAACAUGGUCAACAAGGGAUGCAACAGGUCUCUGCCC
rnacentral:lncRNA from 1 species